UACAGAGGUCUCAAGCGUUGUUCGGAUUCAUUGGGCGUUAAAGGGUGCGUAGGUGGCAUGGUAAGUCGGAUGUGAAAUCCCGGGGCUCAACCCCGGAACUGCAUUCGAUACUGCUGCGCUAGAGUACUGGAGAGGAGAUUGGAAUUUACGGUGUAGCAGUGAAAUGCGUAGAUAUCGUAAGGAAGACCAGUGGCGAAGGCGGAUCUCUGGACAGUUACUGACACUGAGGCACGAAGGCCAGGGGAGCAAACGGG
rnacentral:rRNA from 1 species